AAAACGGAGAGUUUGAUCCUGGCUCAGGAUGAACGCUGGCGGCGUGCUUAACACAUGCAAGUCGAACGAACCUUCGGGUUAGUGGCGGACGGGUGAGUAACGCGUGAGAAUCUGCCCUCAGGAGGGGGAUAACAGUUGGAAACGACUGCUAAUACCCCAUAUGCCGACAGGUGAAAUGAAUUUCGCCUGGGGAUGAGCUCGCGUCUGAUUAGCUUGUUGGUGGGGUAACGGCCUACCAAGGCCUCGAUCAGUAGCUGGUCUGAGAGGACGAUCAGCCACACUGGGACUGAGACACGGCCCAGAC
rnacentral:rRNA from 1 species